rnacentral:rRNA from 1 species
UACGAAGGGGGCUAGCGUUGCUCGGAAUCACUGGGCGUAAAGGGUGCGUAGGCGGGUCUUUAAGUCAGGGGUGAAAUCCUGGAGCUCAACUCCAGAACUGCCUUUGAUACUGAAGAUCUUGAGUUCGGGAGAGGUGAGUGGAACUGCGAGUGUAGAGGUGAAAUUCGUAGAUAUUCGCAAGAACACCAGUGGCGAAGGCGGCUCACUGGCCCGAUACUGACGCUGAGGCACGAAAGCGUGGGGAGCAACAGGAUAGAUAC